CAUCCUUUUCCGCCCUCAUGGAUUGGUGGUUGGUAUCAGCUGCUCCACCUUUUCUACCAUUUACUGAACGAGUUGAGGAAAAAGGGAAGGAGUCUCGUCUUUACAUCCUUAUUUUCUUUUUUUAUUGGUUGGCACCUAUGCCACUCACGUGGUGGAGAGGCGGGGCAAUAGUUGGAGAUGAUUGGUUCUGAGAAUUGGCUGUGAAAGCGGCAUUGCUGACCAGUGAGAGAGACCUAAUGAGGAGCAGGCCGGGGCAACCAAUGAAAUCGGAGAAGAGCGCUUGGGGGCGUGUCCGCCUGCUUUCAGCCUUUGGCAAGUUGGUGGGAGCUAAAAUCAGUCAUCUUCCUGCGAAGGCAUGAGGAGGAAAAGAGAGGAAGUAACUGAGCGAUAAUAUGCUGUAUGAGCCUCCUGCUCUGCUGCCCAUUACCUGCGUCACCUCCACAAGCUACUGAACCUCAAGGAACCCAUCUCCUCAUCAGGAAAAAAAAUAAGCUUUAUGUAGCAGGGUCUGAACUCUGUAGGUCUUCACCACGGCUCAGGAGGAUGAGGAGCAGUGACAGGCCAAACUACGAGAAAAGACAGAGGGAAUCAAACUCAACACUGUGUCUAAACCUCCUCCACCACUGUUGAAGGGAUCCUGGCAUCAGAUGGGGAACAGCUCUAAAUCAAAAUAACCUCACUACUGUGCUUUUCUGUAAAACCAGGUAAAGAUCAGACAAGCAUGAGUUGAAAGGCUAUGUCUCUCUCCAGGCUUUAUUCUGCCAUAGCAGUGACCAGGCGCAGCCAACAGAAACGGAAAGUCAUGGUGUCCAACACGCCUCUCUGUUCCCCAUGCUGAGGUUAAAAGAUGGUUUUUCCUUGCCAUGGAUAAUGUAGAAUUUGACUUUUCUCCUAUUUAUGAGAACAGAAAUAGGCUAAAAAAGAAAGUAAAUGAAGACCAAUUUUGGUACA
rnacentral:lncRNA from 1 species